rnacentral:rRNA from 1 species
UAGAUACCCUAUUAUUUUGGAUUUAAAGAUUUAAACUUGAGUAGUGUUAGGUAUGGUCUUGAAACUUAAAGAAUUUGGCGGUAUUUUAGUCUAGUUAGAGGAAUCUGUUCCGUUAUCGAUAAUCCGCGUUGAACCUUACUUAGCAUAAUUUAAUAUGUAUACCGCCGUUUAUUUGAAGAUCUUUUUAGAGUUAAUUUUCUUCAUAUUUUAAUUAAUUUUAUUUCAGGUCAAGGUGCAGUUGAUAGCUAAGUGGUGAUGGAUUACAUUAUUAAUAAAAUAAGCGAAUUAAAGAGUGAAAAUGUUUUAUGAAGGGGGAUUUAAUAGUAAUUAAUAAUAAGAAUUAUUUUUGUGAUUUUAGCUCUAAAAUGUGUACACAUCGCCCGUCACUCUCGUUAUUAAGAUGAGAUAAGUC